rnacentral:lncRNA from 1 species
GGACACCCGGGUGACACAUUCUUUCGGAGAGGGAGGGCAAGACUUUUCUCCGGAGCCUCUGGCAACUCGUGGAGUCUAUAUAAGAUCUUCAAAGAAAGAGAUAUCCUUUCGAGGCAACACAAGAAGCCAACUACAAAUGAGAAUAUUAUUCUCUUGGUGCAGGGAUUGUUGCAUGUGGACCCCAUCAGCCUUGAAAAGUCCAUGCAAUGGAGUGAAACUUGACAAAGCAGUUGCAGUCGUUCACCAGUGAAGCAAAGUCUUCUUCCUAGUCACGCAGGAAUUUUUUUGGGGGAGAUAACUUGAUGCCUGGAGCUGCUGCUGCAUCUUAUGUAAAUGACAACUAAGGAUAAAAACCACACACAUUACCCAAGGUGCAGUAAAAGAAGAUAUUUUGGGAGGAAGAGAGAAAGCAAGAGAGAGAAACCACAUUUUCAUAACUUUUGUUACAGUAUAUUGUUAUAAUUGGUCUAUUUUUAUUAUUAUUGUUGUUCAUAUUUUACUUUAAUUUAUAAAUUAAACUUCAUUAUAGGUAUGUACAGGAAAAAAUAUGGUAUUAUAUAUGAUUUGGUACUAUCCUUGGUUUCAGGCAUCCACUGAGGGUCUUGGAACAUAUCACCUUGGAUAGGGGAGACUACUGACUUCCUUACUGCUCUAUGUGACAAAUGAAGUUUGGUCUUAUUUGCAGCCAGGAAAAUUUUAUUAUCAAGACUUUAAUAUUAAUACAGAAAUAGGAACUUCCAGGGAUAGACAAAAAUGAAGAGAGCAUCUGUUCCAGCUUCUUUAUUUUAAAGAUUUGAGGCUCAGAGAGGAGAUAUACUUCUUCAAAAUCAACAGCCUAUUAGUUCACAACUGCGAUUACAAUUUCGUCUCCUGGCUCUGGGUUUAAUAAUAUUCCCCCACAUCAUAAAACCUUGGAACUAUCGAAAUGAUAGCUUUGAGGGGAAAAAUAGGCAAAGAAGUAAUAUGUUAAACUUUCCCUGGGAUGCAGGCUUUAAUCAGGUUUCAAAUUCUUCCAACAUAAUAUAAUUUAAUGGUGAGAGCUCUUGACAUUAAGAGGUGAAAUUUAUAUUUAAAAGGCUAAGAUCGUGACAUAUUAAAGCACUUCAAAAAUGUUGGCAACAAAUACCAAGAGUAACUGAUGGUUGUUAUUAUACAAGAACAAAGAAGUUCAUCCUCUGGAAUUAAAGGUGUGUUAGUGUCAUUGUUGCUCAUGGGGAGGAGUAGGCACCUGACUUUCUUUUUUUCCUUACGACAGCUUUAUCCAAAUAAAGCACGGUGUGUUUCAUCACCCAUAAUGGAAAGUGCCUGUCACUCCUUGAACAACAUCAUAUGGUUGGUGGCCGGUGGAUAAUGGACCACUGAGUGUCAAGGUGACUGGCUUUCAAUGCACACAAAACUAAAAAUUAUAGACCUGUCAUUCCACAGGCAGGCCACAAUUAGCUGUCUAUGCAACUUGAAAUUUCCAUUUUGCCAGCUGAGUAAUCAUUUGACUAGAGUUUUUCAUUUGGAAGCAUUUCUAAGCCUUUUGUGUGCAAGUCUUUUAAAAUGUGGAUCCUGAAGUAAAUAAACAGUGCACUUAAUCAGAUGUAUUCUUUUUAGAAACACCCCUUCGGAAACACACAGGCAAACCCCAACAUUGUUGUAAUAGUAACAACAAUAAUGUGACAAAACAAUAUAAGCCUUGGGUAUUUUAUUUAGGGAUCUUAAAAGUUCACAGCGAAAGGUAAGAAUCAUUUCUUAAUACCUCAGAGUGCAGAAUUUAGAAAAAGAAACUGAGAUUUUAGCAGUCAGUAACUAGAUAAGGUCACCAAAGGAGAAGUAAACUCAGAGCUAGGGGUCAAAACUUGGGAAUUUCAGUGUCAGAAACAUUCACUGAUUCAAAACUAUCCAUUUACCAGUUUUCUAUUUACAUUUGGUUUCCAACUCCAUAUCUGAGUUCUGUCAUUUCUCUGAUUCUUUGAGGGAUAGAGAAAAUGAUACCAAGUGGAGUCUGUUGGAAAAUUGUGUUGUAAUUUCCAUUCAGUUGCUGUACGUGAAGUAAACUUCAGGAUUCUACAAUCCCAGAUCAGAUUCUAGACUGUCUAAUUGAACCUGAAUCUUCUUUUACCCUCUUCCUGCCCUGUCCCUGGUCCACAUUACUCUCUCUCCUUCUCCCUCGGAUGAUUUAUAUCUACACUUAAAUUGCCGAGCCACAAGGAUACAAGUGAAGUUGACAAUCAAUAUGAAUUAAGGAAAAAAUCAGAAGUCUGAGAUCAGAAGUGUUUGAGUGAAAUUCUCCCUACAAGUCUUGGCAACCUCAUGAUUUUGUUUAAUUUUCCAACAUGUUUUGGAUUAUUGGAAAGAGUUACAUGGGAUAAAAAGGAUUUGCCUGGCAGAGUAAAAGAACUGAAUUUGGAUUGUACUGAAGUAGGUCCUAACUAGGCUGUUGAUGGUGAAAUAUUGACGAUUCUAUUGUUUUGAAUGAAUGAGUGUCAUAUUUUACUGGGAAUUGAUUUCUGAACUUCAGUCAAGGAGUGACUGAAUUUGCAAUUAGAGUCACUCUGUUUUGUAACUCAGAUUAUGCAAGGAUCAUUCUGAAACAGCAACCAAGAUAUAAGCCCUUGUUGCAUGGCUUUUCUUUAAUUUCUAAUUUUGUGUGUCUGUGUUCAGUUUUUAAAGGACCAAAAAGUUUUUUUUCCCCCAUCUCUCUAGAAAAAAAAGGAACAUACCCUAGGAUUACAAGGGGCUUGAUUAUCUGUUUUAUAAGAAUCUUAACCCAGGAAUUGGUUAAUAUUCUUUCUCCCAUUUAGAAAAAUAGUAGGCUUUGUCGUUGAUUCCUAAUGAUUAGCACAAAAAGGGAAAGGCUUUUUAAAACCAAGAUAAAAUCACUUUAAUUCCAAAAGUGUCCAUUUAAGAAAUAUAAACUGUGAAGAUAAGCAAUGGCUAUUUUCUCUAAAGGAAAGUAUUUUCAAAUGAACAGAACAGGCAAAUGUAGACUUAAUUAGGUGGAGUCAGAUGGGUAUUAAUUAUUCACCUUUCCAGGGUGAGAAUAAUAGCAUUGUUGCUAAAGAAAUGAAAUAAGGCAUGACACUUCUUUCUUCUUCAUUCUGUGAAAGCUGCUCUGAUCUGAACAGGUUAAAGAUGGGAUAACAGGAGGACAGACUGAAAAUUUGCUCUUCCCUUCACAAUUGAGGGUAGAUAGUCUUUCGAGAGUGUAGUAUCCUCCAUUGAAAUAAAAUGUUAUUGACUACCUGCUUGGAGACAUAAAAACCUUCUCAUGUUUGGAAUGUACAUGUACUUCUCUGUUUUGCUCUCUUGAACAUUUUCAAAAUAGCUAAAUAAAAUUUGUCCUCAUUCUUAGA